UACAGAGGGUGCAAGCGUUAAUCGGAAUGACUGGGCGUAAAGGGCACGUAGGCGGCUAGAUGUGUUAUAGGUGAAAUCCCCGGGCUUAACCUGGGAACUGCCUAUAAAACUGUUUGGCUAGAAUAGAGUAGAGGUAAGUGGAAUUUCCGGUGUAGCGGUGAAAUGCGUAGAUAUCGGAAAGAACACCAGUGGCGAAGGCGACUUACUGGACUCAUAUUGACGCUGAGGUGCGAAAGCGUGGGGAGCAAACGGG
rnacentral:rRNA from 1 species